ACGGCCAGCGACACGCCUUUUCUAGCUUUUGAAGACCCAAAUUGUGCCAAUUUUGGUUCCAAGACAGCACAUAUGCAACAAUUAUCCCCAAACGUUUGGCCUCAUGAAACAGGGUCAUAAGUGUAAUAUACCGAAUUUCUAUAAUUAUGAAGUUACAGGGUAUGUUAGCUUGGAAAGCUGUUAGAGUGGUUACGGUGAAAUUCGGGAGUUUUCGAGCGUUUUCGGUGCGCGAAGGGCGGGUGUGAAAACGGAACCCGAAAGGUUAUGUUGGACCGUGGACUAAA
rnacentral:lncRNA from 1 species